rnacentral:tRNA from 1 species
CACUAAGAAGCUAACCUGGACCUCAGCGUCAGCCUUUUAAGCUGAAGAUUGGUGCCUUCCAACCACCCUUAGUGA